CCCGAAGCGGCUAUUACGUUGAAUCGAUUAAACGAGCGUCGAAAAUGAAAUACACUUUCACGUCACACUUUCCGGCAAUAUCUAACAUCCGAAGCUUUUUCUCAUCGUGCAACCUCUACGGUUCUGAUCGUUCGAGAUCGUUCGAGACUGCUCAGGAUUCCCGGUCGCGUCCCACCGAUUUUUAUCGAAUCUCGCCAGUGUCGUAUAAAUAUUUCGAUCCUCUUACAGGUCAUGGUGCACCGUGAAGUCGAUUCGCAGCGUCGACGUCGAGAAACGACGCUGGUUGAAGUGCAUGCCUGGGCAAGCGGCCGCGACGUUUAAUAAAAUCGAAGGCACACCGCGAUGUAAACAGACGAGCCAGGGGGAGAGGGAGGCAGAGAAAGAAAGAGAGAGACAGUUGACAGUUCGCGUAUUUAAGAGAAAUGAGGUAACGUUUCAUCGGAGACCUUGACCGCGCGCGAAAAAGGGGUUGAGUCGCAGAACCGUCGCGAUCCGAUACAUCGAGCACGUCUCGUGGGAUACCCCGUAGGAAGGGUUCAGAGGGUCAUCGUAAACACAGGUUCACGAUCGGUGAUGAGCAGGCGCCUUCGAACGAACGGCGCCGGGAAAAACGCGUAGAGAUGGUGUGCGUGUGUUUUGGACAGUGUGCGUUGCUUACUGGGGACAGCUCGUCGAGGGACGAUCAAUCUCGAGCUUCUCCAAACUCGCCGGCAGCACCUCGUCGGCCAUGCUCACGGUUUUGCACGUUCCGGUGCUGAGUGACCGUUGGCAAACAAACGUUGACAGCGCGUCGGAAAAUUUCAGAACAACGGCCAGAACGUCCCGGGGAGAAAAUAGGUUAGAACGAGAAUGACGACAGCCAGCGAGAUCGCCGAGCGUCGACAUUCACCACAUUUCCACCGUUUCGGUACCGCAGUUUUGUCCACAAUCUGGUCACGCGUGCACCAUAGCCGAAACCUCGCUGUUACGACACUCGCUCAGCAGAUAUCGCUCGUGGACGCGGGUCUCGCGAUCAAUUAAUCAUCGACAGCACGUAAAUAAACAGACUUUUGCGCGCAACUGCCAUUCUACUGCUGCUCGAUACCGGAAGCAACGGUCUCAGAUGGCGCCACGCGAGCCGUCUUUAUCCCGCGCGCACACCGGACGCCAUUUAAAUGCUCCGAUGAUACCUCCUAACUGCCGGCGAAAUGACAACGACAGAAAUUUGUUGAUUCGCUGCCCGUGGAAUUGAUUUCGUCGUUAAAACUGCAUCGGAUUUUUGUAUACGAAGGACGGAGUUAGCAACAUAUAGUGGGGCUUCCGGACUUACGUCCUAAUUGGUUCUGGAAUGAGCGAUGCAAGUUCGGAAGGACGUCGUCUUCUGACAAUUGCAGGCGAGGAUGCGGCAGCUGGCGGUUCUGAAUGAAGACAUCAUAGACCAUAGUCGACAACGUAGAAGAAAGUUAGGUUCAUCGCGGCGGAAUGGAAUGGAGGAGUCGAACGCGCCCCUAGAAGCUUCUGCCUCGGUCAAAAAUAGACGUGGAAUGACACGGGGAAGCGGAUACCGUAAUAUUUUAGUGUCACCGAAAUAAAACUGGGAGCCAUCUGGCCAAUUAUACGAAUGCAUAAAUCCGCGCUGAAUGCCGGGGGCGGGGGAAAACAAACUAGCCGCGUUUCGUCCCGGUUUACGACUUCCGAUCGAUCGGGCCAUCCGCCUAGGGGAUCGGUGACAUUUUGGAAUGCCUAACGGGAUUCCACGGGGCUUAAGGAAGUUAGGAUCGCUGGUAAGCCUGAGUGAUAGAAAUCGGGAUACCUUAAAAGUAGGUAGACGAGACCAAAUCCGUCCAGGAUGCCUGGUUUUGGCGGUCGGUGGCUUUUACCGUUUGCCUGCCGUUUAUCUUGCGUGCAAUAGGUGCGCACCGUUUAUAGAACCUGCAAUAUUGGAUUCUGUAUCCGUUGGAUGAGUUCUGGCAGUGUCUUUAUGGUUUGUAUGUAAUACAGAUUAUCUGUGGAAUGUUUGCUUAAUUAGAUAUCUUUCUGGUGCCAUUUUUGUAACUCUAAUGUUGGGAAUAAAGAAAUUGUAUUAUAGAUUGGGUUCUGUAUCGUUGGAUUAACGAGUUGUUUGUUUAGUGAAAGUAAUUGUUAAUUUAUUCAUUUUCGUAGGAUAUAUGUGGUAGAUUGGAUUCCAUUUUGGUGAUACUUUCAGGAAGGUAAAAUACAAUUUUACAUCAAACUUGACCAUUUGGUAACACUUUUAGGAAGGUAAGAUACAGUUUUACAUUGACGAGGUAUUUUAGAUUAAUUACUAUAUGAAAUACUAUGUAGGUAUAGUGUAUAUCCAUAAACUAUAACAGUUAAAUACUAUACAGAGAUAGACAAUAUUCGUAUAAAGCAGUUUAUACUUGCAAGAUUUUCAAGCACCACGUGUUCAAGAAAUAAGACUCGAUCAAGUGUUUGUUAUUUUGUUCCCUAAUUCUUCGAAGCAUUCACGAAACACAAGAUUCCUUUAAUGUUUCCUCGGUUACCCACAAGAUUGCUCUACUAUUUUGGCGAAUAUCACAACGCGCCACGGUUAUUUCUCCAAACAGCUUGUUCCUGCCAGACUCAACAGAGUUCCAAAAUUCACGGAGCAAGGGAUGAUCAAAGGCUUCCCGAUCGAUCUCUGUACUAUUUGUGACGAAACUCAGCAUCACGACCUGUCGGUCGAUCUGUUGCUCGAUUCGCGAUAAGCCCCUACUAUUUAUUCGAAGCCGAAACGCGUUUGAUCUACUUCGCUCAACUACUUCUGAUCGUACUUCAGGCUUGAAGAGGCUCAAGACGAUACGCCCGACGUCUGCAAAUAAAUCAGAUACGUUAACGAGGCCCCCGGCUCUGCCUUGGAUCCUGCCGUUCCCGAGAUCUUUUUUAAAACUUCGCCGAACGUCACGUGCUCGGCAAACUUUGAAGCGGCUUUUACGUAACAAUUUUAUUUAUUUUCAUUAACGCUCACAUUUAUCGAUGUGUUUCUUUUUCCGUUGUUUUUCGAGGUAAAGGGAUUGGUUACUAACUUGUACAAUAUUCCAUCGUGUGCUCGAUAUUUUUCGCCGUGUAAACUCCAUUUGUAACCCUUUGCACGGCGAGUUACUUUUAUAGUUUACUUUCGAUAAUUUUGUAUUAUCGUAAGUGUUUCAUUUGAAGUGUACUUUGAAAGAUGGUUACUUAAUGGUAUACAGUGUAAAAAAUUCUUUUUAGAAAUAACAUUGGACAUAGUAUAAUAACAUAAUAAUAGAACAAUGACUAGUUCAAGUUUCCUUAUUUCGCGAUGAUUCACAUCUUAAAAGCAUUAAAUAUUCGAAAUGGUUUGAAAAAUAAAUAGUUUUACUACAAUGCUAUAUAUUAAUAUAUGAAAAAGCCGAAGACAAAUCUAUUACAAUUCGUAUAAGGACUACAUAUUAACCCUUUGCACUCAACUCUCACCACUUUAUUUGAUAUAGCAAAAUUAUAAAAUUUUAUAUAUAAUAUUAAGCUUUAUAUAACACAUCGAACGUGAAAUAUUGAAAUAAAGUGGCCACUUAGUUCAAUACAUACAGAAUUAUGAAAUUUAAUAUUUAAUAUGAAGCUUUGUACAAAUGCGCCAAUAUGUGAAACAAAAAGAACUUUGCUGCUUAAUCUGUGUAUGAUUUCUCAUUAAGCUGAUUUCAAAAAAUAUCAUUUGUAUCAUUAGACAAUGUUCGACCGCAAAGGGUUAAUUUCUGUAUACUUUCUCAUUAGUUAGUUUCGAAGAAUAUUUCUAGUGGAAAACUUUCGAGAGCACAGGGGUAAUUACGUCAACUACUCCGUUGCUCUAGUGUUGACCCUUUGAGUUUCAGUCAUCACUUGAUUUGAUGUAGUAAAACUAUAAAAUUUAAUGUUUAGCAAAAUAUUUAGGGCAAAAUAGCCUUGUUCCUCAACGUACUUGUGAUUCCUCUUUGAGUUAAUGUACAAAAAUAUCGUCUUUGUCUAAUUAGAAGAUGUCAAGCAUUUCUAGCGAAACACUUCCGGACGCAAAGCGUUAAUAAUGCCUCGACAAAGGAGCACACUUUCGACCGAAUUUCAUGUCGAGUUAUAUUCAACACUGGAGUUCAAAGGGUUAAAGAAGUCGAACGGAAAUAUCCGUGUUCUCGAAUGGACGGCGUAUCGUCGCGUAAAGAUGGCUGUCAGCGGGGUACACGGUCCAAGUAA